rnacentral:rRNA from 1 species
UACGGGGGGGAGCAAGCGUUGUUCGGAUUUACUGGGCGUAAAGGGCGCGUAGGCGGCGUGACAAGUCACUUGUGAAAUCUCCGGGCUUAACUCGGAGCGGCCAAGUGAUACUGUCGUGCUAGAGUGCGGAAGGGGGCUACUGGAAUUCCCGGUGUAGUGGUGGAAUGCGCAGAUAUCAGGAGGAACACCGGUGGCGAAGGCGGGUCUCUGGGCCGAUACUGACGCUGGAG